rnacentral:tRNA from 1 species
GCCGGGAUGGUCUAAUCGGUUAAGGCGUCUCCCCCAGAUAUAGGUGGAGAUUGGGGGUUCGAUCCCCGCCCCUGGCC